GAUAUGUGAAUACCAUUAAAAAACUCUGCUGCUGCUCUAGAAACUUUUAUAGAAGGACAAAAAUUAGAUAAGAUGAAAAAUGUGUUUAUGGAUACAUUUACACUAUUAUCUGUAAGUAUAUAAUUAUCACCUGUAGGCUCUCGACUGCCAUGUAGCUUGGAGAUAUGACAAAACUUUACAGAAUUUAAAGAUGCUUCUCGUUGUUGGUAGGAAAGGCAUGGUAACAGAUAAAGCCACUAAGACAAUAGUAGACUGAAUAGGUAGCUACAUUGAAGAGCAAGCUGGGGCUGGGAAAGGCUUAUGGGCCUUAACUCAGCUCCCAGUCACCAAGCCUCCUCCCCAACCUAACUAAUGGCAUAUUGGGAGUCUGAUUUAGUUCUGACUUUGUUGUGUGUAUGAGAAAGCUUCUGUAAGGGCAGAGGGGUUGAGGGAAAUGUACAUUAUUUAUAUCUGUGAAAUUAGUAAGGUUGACUGUAGUUAAAAUUAAUUUAAAAAAAUCUAAGUGUUUCAGGAUGAACAAUUAAAUGUUAAAAUAUGGGUAUAUUUAUAGCUAUAACAGUUUGCCAUUAACUUCUGUUAAGACAGGUUUUAUUCACUGCUGACUCCCCAGUGCCAAGAACAGUGCCUGGGAUGCAGUAAGUAUUUAAUAAUUAUUUGCUGAUUAAUAGGUUGUGCGGAUGAGUGAUGUGAUAGUUUUUUUCUUUCUAGGUGCAGAUUUUAAUGUCAGUGACUGAAUUAAAAGGUGUUGAGAAGCUCAGAAUGAAUAGAUAUGUUGGAUAUUUUGCACAAGUGAAACAUAUCUACAACUGGAAUCUCCCUCCAAGAAGGAUACUUUUUACAAAAGCAUUCAUUAUUUAUUCGAUUCAUGGUAAGUGCUUUAUGUAUAAUUGGAGAAUUGGGCAGGAGGGCCAAUGUUCCUGCUCUGGGAGGCUUUUGCUCAUAGUUACAUAUACAGAUGAUCCUAACUCAUAUCUGACUUUUUACAUAUCCUCACACGUGAACUCCUCCUUACGUAUGCCCCUCCUCCUGCAAUUGUCCAUUGAUUGCCAGCCCUUAGAUGCUCUUCACUUUUUCUUUUGGGGGACUUCAUCCCCUUCCCAUCUCUCCUGUUCUCGUUGCUCCUCUGGUCUCAACCCAGGGUAG
rnacentral:lncRNA from 1 species